GUGGGGAAUCUUCCGCAAUGGACGAAAGUCUGACGGAGCAACGCCGCGUGAGUGAUGAAGGUCUUCGGAUUGUAAAGCUCUGUUAAUCGGGACGAAAGAGCCUAGUGUGAAUAAUGCUAGGAAGUGACGGUACCGGAAUAGAAAGCCACGGCUAACUACGUGCCAGCAGCCGCGGUAAUACGUAGGUGGCAAGUGUUGUCCGGAAUUAUUGGGCGUAAAGCGCGCGAAGGCGGAUCUGCCAGUCUGUCUUAAAAGUUCGGGGCUUAACCCCGUGAUUGGAUGGAAACUACAGAUCUAGAGUAUCGGAGAGGAAAGUGGAAUUCCUAGUGUAGCGGUGAAAUGCGUAGAUAUUAGGAAGAACACCAGUGGCGAAGGCGACUUUCUGGACGAAAACUGACGCUGAGGCGCGAAAGCCAGGGGAGCGAACGGGAUUAGAAACCCCGGUAGUCC
rnacentral:rRNA from 1 species